rnacentral:rRNA from 1 species
GACGAACGCUGGCGGCGUGCCUAAUACAUGCAAGUAGGACGCAGUUGCGAACGGGUGAGUAACGCGUAGGUAACUGCCUAUUAGAGGGGGAUAACUAUUGGAAACGAUAGCUAAUACCGCAUACUAGUAGAUGGACCUGCGUUGUAUUAGCUAGUAGGUAGGGUAAUGGCCUACCUAGGCGACGAUACAUAGCCGACCUGGGAGAGUGAUCGGCCACGAGGGACGCGAUGCACGGCCCAGAAGCCAACGGGAUGCAGCAGUAUGGAAUAUUCGGCAAUGGGUGGAACCCGAACCUAGAAACUCCGCGGGAGUGAAGAAGGUUGUCGGAUCGUAAAACUCUGUUUUUAGAGAAGCGGUAUCUAACCAGAAAGCCACGGCUAACUACGUGCCAGCCGACGCGGUAAUAC